GAAAACUGAUGAAAAACUGUGUUGCAUAAUUAUAUUUCUGAUCAUCUCUAUAUGAAGAAACACCCACUAUUGUCAAGUUGCAUAAAAAUAGCUUUUGUCAUGAACAUGUGAAUAUGAUUCCUGAGUCACACCUUGUUACACCUUAUAAAAGUAGCUUAGCUUUUGGGUAAAUCAUCUUCCAGAGAGACGGAGCCUGUUGUCAUUAAGGAUAUUGCUGAGAGAGUUACAGGGAACAAAUUAUUGUUUGAGAUUAGAUGGUUAUGACUUUGAAGAAUAAAAUAAGGUUUGCCUUUUAUAAAAAUAAUGGCACCAGUAACACUACUGCCUUCACAAUAUUAUGUCUAUGGGUGCUGCUUAGUGGGAAUGGAGUCCAAAGUACAACAUCAUAUACAACAGAAACCACAGAAACAACUAC
ensembl:lncRNA